rnacentral:lncRNA from 1 species
CUACAGCUCUGACCCCUGUUAUCUUCUUCCCGGGACCCCGGCUGAUGGAGCUGCACAUGGCUGGCUUUGUGCAGAGGUCGCCAUGCCUCUGGACGGAGAGAAAAUGUCUUGGAAUUCUGAAAUAUGCCAAGACCCAGCAAAUGAAGACGAAGUCUGUGUGGAAGGGCCCAGAGCCAUAAUCCAGCCCAACACCCUCAAGGUGAGAAGCUAAGUCUGGUCCCUGUUAUUCCAUUUUGGCCAGAAGCCUAGCAGCUCCAUUUUAAGCCCUGAACCCUCCCUCCACAUCGGGCUUCAGAUUCUGCCAGUCCACUACUCAACAAGUGAGCCGAGUCUUGUGGGGAUUGAGAUUCACAGAGAAGCACCUCUUUGCCAUACCAGGACUACAGGACAUACUGGAGCAGAAACCAAUGAACAGCACCCAAUCGUGCCUUGAGGGCUCCAGGAAGCCACAGUCCUGAGAAACAGAUGGACAGGGGAACCAGAUGGGACAGGUGGGACAGAGGAAUGGGGAAACAUGACUGCAAACCACAUCAGCCACAUCCCCUAGAGUGAGGUGGGGAGGAAGACCCAUGCUGUCUCACCACUCCAGGGAGAGCGGACGCAUCAGGGCACAGUGUUAGGGAAGCUCUGCAUCUCUCAAGAUAUUCUGAAAAGGAACAUCAGCCAUGGCGAGAAGCCGAGGUUGCAGCCCCGCUCCCAUGCCGCACCCUGGGCAAACACUCCUCAAGCAGGAUUUCACUCCACUUCCACACACCCUGUGGGUAGGGACUCUUAGUGUCUCCCUUUCACAGAUGGGAAAACUGAGGCUUAAAGAGGUUAAGCAACCUCAGCCAGGUCACACAUGAGCAGUGGAUAAGACCUGACGCCAGGAGGCCUGGCUGCAGAGCUGUGCCCCAGACCUCUCCUGAACGCGGGGCACCACCCCACGUAAACCCUCUGCCACAGCCCCAAUGCUCCAGGGCCCUGCUCUGUGUCACUCACAGAUCUGUUUUAUCCCAUUUCCCCCACUGUAAUGUCAUCUCUGUGGACAGGGAUUUUUGCCUGUUUUGCUCACUGUGUUGUGUACCCUAGUGCCUGGUGUGUGGCAGGAAUUUGUAUUGUUGGGUGAAUUUGUGGAUGAAUGGAUGAUCAAGGAGGCCAGUAAGUGGCUCAGGUGGUCAGCCCCUCAUCCUGCCCCUCCCCAACAUCUCUGUGCCUCCUGCAUGAUGGUGGCACAGGCUGGCCAAUGAGCUUCUGCAUGGAAGAUGGGGCAGGCUACUGGGGUAUGUCAUGGUGGGCCAAGCCAGGGGGCCAUGUAGGGUGGUGGAACCAGUCCAGGUAUUCCCUUGGGGAACCAGAGGGUUGAGUCCAGUGGGGCUAUCAGAACCCACAAGGCCUUGAGAACCAAAGAAGUGAUGAUUGGUUCAAACAGGAGGGUGGCAAGGCCAGGCCAUCAUGGGGCAGGUCUCUGGAGGGGGCCAGGCUGGAACUGGGCCAGUGAUAUAAGUUGGCUCUAUGUCCCCACCCAAGUCUCAUGUCAAAUUGCAAUCCUCAAUGUUGGAGGAGGGGCCUGGUGGGAAGUGAUUGGAUCAUGCGGGCAGACUUCUCCCUUGCUGUUCUGGUGAUGCUGAGUGAGUUCUCAUGAGAUCUGGUUGUUUAGAGGCAUACGGCACUUCCCCCUUCUCUCUCUCUCUCCUGCUGGCCAUGUGAAUAUGUGCCUACUUCCCCUUGGCUUUCUGCCACGAUUAUAAGCUUCCUGAGGGAAGCUUACUACCCAUAUUUCCUGUACAGCCUGCAGAAUUGUGAGUCAAUUAAACCUAUUUUCUUAAUAAAUUACCCAGUCUCAGGUAGUUCCUUAUAGCAAUGCGAGAACAGACUAAUACAGCCGGGCUCCAUCCACUGGCUCUGCUGCAGGGCCUGAGUAAACUACUGUCCUCCAGGGACCGGUAACACCAGGGACAAUAAGGAGGCUUAAUCAGGAUCCUCUGAUUGCAAGUGACAAAAAGCCAGCCUAAAUUAGCUUAGCAAAAAAGGGGACACAAUUCCAGGCCCUGACAGUGGGCCCUGGGGCUUAAACUCCAUGGGACCCUCUCUGCCUCUCCUCUCUGUUUCUCUCAUGGGGUGGACACAGCCAGUAGCAGCUCCAAGGACAUGUCCCACAGUGCCUUGGCCAGAGCCAGAGAAGGUAUCACCACCCACUGCAAUCC